GUCCAGGGAUGGGAAUCGAACCCAGCUUACCGGUCAUGCCAUGUCCACUAGGCUACCCUGGA
rnacentral:tRNA from 1 species